GUCCUUUAGUGGCUGAUAAGCAUAAUGACUGGUAUUUCAUGAAAUUGUGUGAGGUACACCUCCCUCAAACCUUAUUAUAUUGUUGGCACAUGUGGUAGUUUGAAU